rnacentral:rRNA from 1 species
GCCUAAUACAUGCAAGUCGAACGAAGUAGCAAUACUUAGUGGCAGACGGGUGAGUAACAUGUAGGUAUCUGCCCUUUGGCCUGGAAUAACACGAGGAAACUUGUGCUAAUACCGGAUAAGUCUUUACGGAGAAAGCUUUAUGCACCAUUGGAUGAGCCUGCACUUGAUUAGUUUGUUGGUGGGGUAAUGGCCUACCAAGACUGUGAUCAAUAGCUGAUUUGAGAGGAUGAUCAGCCACAUUGGGACUGAGACACGGCCCAAACUCCUACGGGAGGCAGCAGUAGGGAAUCUUGCACAAUGGAGGAAACUCUGAUGCAGCGAUGCCGCGUGAGUGAAGAAGGCCCUUGGGUUGUAAAGCUCUUUCGUCGGGGAAGAAAAUGACUGUACCCGAAUAAGAAGGUCCGGCUAACUUCGUGCCAGCAGCCGCGGUAAUACGAAGGGACCUAGCGUAGUUCGGAAUUACUGGGCUUAAAGAGUUCGUAGGUGGUUGAAAAAGUUGGUGGUGAAAUCCCAGAGCUUAACUCUGGAACUGCCAUCAAAACUUUUCAGCUAGAGUAUGAUAGAGGAAAGCAGAAUUUCUAGUGUAGAGGUGAAAUUCGUAGAUAUUAGAAAGAAUACCAAUUGCGAAGGCAGCUUUCUGGAUCAUUACUGACACUGAGGAACGAAAGCAUGGGUAGCGAAGAGGAUUAGAUACCCUCGUAGUCCAUGCCGUAAACGAUGUGUGUUAGACGUUGGAAAUUUAUUUUCAGUGUCGCAGCGAAAGCGAUAAACACACCGCCUGGGGAGUACG